GGAAUAUAUUUUAAAUUACGUGGAAAAUCAAGAGAUAAUGAUAAAAUUUCAAAACAUAUAAACAUAUGGAUUCAUAAUCUAUUCACAUCCAUAUUCAAAUGGUCUGAAUCUAUCCUGUGAGAUACUUGAUCCCAUCGCUACAAUGAUACCACGAAUAGGAGGAAACAGAGGGGAGAGGAUCGGUCAGUUCUCCCUGUGUCGGUGUUCGCGCCACAGAUUGCAUCAGCACGCCCUUAAUCCUAUUAUGACUAAGUAAUGACUCCUUAGUAUGCCGACUCGAGAACCGUAAAAAUGUUGUGUCAGAUGCUAUCUGACUGGUUGUCGUUUGGUAAUUUACCAUACGUCCAGCAUCGGCUAAAGGUCAGACCGCUUUUACGCUUGAUUCACGGCUUCCGAAGAAGUCUUCUCUCCUUCUAUGGCGGUCGUAACUAUGGAAAGAUUAGCGUAGUGAGAUUAUGAUUUAUGAUUUUCAAGCAGUUCAUGAGAAUUUUGUAUUAAAAGAGUAGAAAGUCGAAGUUAAUAUAUAUUGUGAUAUUAUGAACUGCAUCGAUAUCACUAUAAUGUUAAAAAUAAUAAAAUUAUUCAAAUUAGUAUUAAAGUUUAGAAUAUUUAGUGAAUAUCUAGAAAUUGAAAAAAACGAUGGAAUAAAUAUUUGAAAAUUACGCUGAUACUUUCAAAAUAGUCCAGUUUAUCUUGUUAAGCACAUUUGUUGAAAAAAUGGCAUGACUCAAAAUUUGCUUUUAUCGAAUUAAUUCUUUGUCACGAAGAAUGAACAUUGCUUAAGAAACAUCAAGCAAUCACUACUGAAAAGAAACAGAAAAAGAGAAAGAGAGAGAAGGAACGAUGGUAUUUAUAGGUCGUUCGAAUUCUAUGGAUCUCGAAGGGAACACGACAAGUAAUAAGUUUCGUUUAAGUCUGAGCAAUCAGAUAACGAUCGGAAUUUUGCGGCGAGAAGAAAGAGGGAAUCGAGAGAGAAGGAGAGAUUGUGUAUCCAAUCUACUUGUAAUUAUAUGCAACGGAAUCUGGUAUAUAAGGAUUGUUUAACGGUAAACGAUGAAUUGGUGCAAAUAGCAGGAAUGAACAGCUAUUUAACGAAAUUGCUAUGAACCAUCUGAUUAAGGGGAUUGCUUUGAAGUACACGUGUGUAUUGUGUAAUAACUGAUGAACAGGGGAAUACAUUCACCAGAUAUUGCGUCCCUUGAACAAGUUGUGCAUAAAUGAAUGAAUGGAGAUAAAUUUUAUGGAUGAUUUUUCAAAAAGGAUUAUUGUAAAGAGUAAUACAUAUUUGAGAGAUAUUGAAUAAUAAAGUAAAAAACUGUGAAGUAAAUAAUUGAAUAAAUAAUCAAGUAAGAAUUUUUGGAAAAUGUUGAAAGAAAGAGAGGAGUUAAAAAAAUUGAACGAAAGAAUGCUGUUAUUAGGUCAAUCAAUAUUUAAAUAAAAUUGAUGUAUUGAUGAAAAAGAAAAUGACUAUAAUUAAGAGAUAAAAAAACAACAUCAAAGCCGCAAUGAGAGUCGUAAAGAUGAGCCAACAGAACCAUAAAAGCAACGCAGAACAAUAAAUCUAAUAUCUCGUAAAACUCUGGUUGCCUCUUUCCAUCAUCAACGAUUAGGAAUGAUUCUCGAGAGCUUCUUAAUAAUGAAUGAUCCCAAAUCCAUCAAAACUCGGAACGAAAAUAUCCUAUCCUAUCCGUGAAGAAAGGAGUCCUCGAAAAAAAUAUGUAAAAGGGUCCACCAGAAACCAGUUCAGAUUUAUCGCUUCCGGUAUAGUGAAAAAUAUGAAGCAAAUUAACAUGCCCAAGUAAUAUUGUUACGAUGAUUUAUGGGUGAAAACACGAGGAAGCUGUCCAACGUCAUUUUAAGCGGCAAAGAGAAUGCGAAUUUGCAAGAAACUAAGCCGACUGCAUACCAACGAGCCUGAAACCCAAGAAAGCCGAUCUUUCCGCAAUAUCUUCACCGCCUUAAUUCCCUGCGAAUCUCAUGAAAAAAAGGCGCGAACAUCGUCCAAAGGGAUUUAAACGGCUACUUAUCCUCGUUCGGUUUGGUUUGUAAUAAACCAGGAAAGAAGAUAUAAAGAAAAAAAUGGAUGUGAUAAAACGUGUAAGUUUAUAAGUUCACGUGUUUUGAGAUAGAGAUAGAACUCGAGUGACAUAAGUAUUUGAAUGAUUUUAAAAUUCAUUCAACUCAAAAAAACAUUUCGAUAAAAAAGAAUUGUUUCAAAAACUUAUUUUCUUCAACUUUAAUCAAGCAAUCACACAUUGCAAUCAAUUACUAAUACAAAAAAUAAUUGGAGACAACAUACAGAGCCGCUGUGUUACAAUAGUUGUUACUGAAACGAGUUCAAAUCACGUUGCUCUAAGGAUGCUUUUAAUUUGAAAGCAAAUUCUCCAAGAUAAUGUAUGAACUUGGCAAUGGUAACAUUGAAAGGAUAAUGUACCAACUUUGUCUACCCUUAAAAAACGUUGACCGAGAAGAAAGAAGAAUGAUGGACGUUCAACCCGAAUAGUUUUCCAGAUGUCAUCCCUUUCUCGAGAUUCACAACGAGGCGAAUUGUCAGCUUUGCGAAAUGGAAAAAAAAAAAACAAAAAGAAAAAAAGAAAAAAUAAAUAUUACGACUGUGUUACGAACGUGGUUUACCGGUAGCUAACACGUAGAAGCUACUCUUUGUACGUGGAAUAGUUACGAGUUCUUCGGGUUCUGUUUAAUAUGCAUGGAAACGCGCCUCUUAGAGCAUAUGCUUUCAUAUGUUUACCGCUUCCAAUUUCUCAUUGUUAUCAAAACUACUGACUUAAACGAUAUUCUUGUAUGGAGGAAGAGUGAAAGAACGAGUUCGAAAGUUACAGAGAAAAUAAUAAUGGAUUAAAUAAAAAAAAGAAACUCGAAUUUUUCUAAAGGUAUUUUUCAAAGCAAGAAGACUGACAAAACCUAAAAUGGACAGGAUAGGAUCCAAGUAUAUUUAAAAAACAAAAUACUACUAAAUAAUCUUAACUUGAAAUUUUCUACAAAUUUUUAAGUAACAUAAAUCCAUUCAUAAAUAAGAUCACUUACUUAAUUACAAAUUUCUUUGUUUGUUUCAGGAUUCUUCAAGAAAAAAAUGCUCAAGAUCAAUCAUUUGUUCAAUUCACAUUCAAUUGCCUCUUUAGAGAUAAGGAAAGCUUGAGCAACUGAGCAACCUAAAGAUGUCGCAUAUCCUUAAAUCAUCUUAUCUAUUCAAAGCUUAUUAUUCACACGCUUUAAACGACGUCUAAAGUGCAGUGACAUCUUUUUUUGACUGUCACGCCUUUAUCGCGUUCAGUUUUACGCGACUACUCGUAUCGAUCUGACAGUGGCGUAAAAGCCAUGACAGAAUACCAUCAGCGACCAUCUUCGCGGAAUCCUAAGAAACUUAGUUAGUCAGGAACCCUCUGUGUUGCGUAUCGGAGUCAGCAGCCCGUUGCUGGAUGACAAAUCGUUGGUUGGCCGAGCUGACAGCUAACAUCCAUUGACCGUUUUACAACUUGAUAAAUCGUAACACGGAGGAUCUUCUCGUUAUAACAGAUGGUGUACGCGUUAAGUGUCUAUUUUUUAAAAUUACUUCUUUAUUUAAGGAUCUUUAUUUUUUUGAUCUUGUUCAAAUCAUUGGAACCGAUGAAAUAAUGCAACAUAUUAUUCUACAAUACAAAUUAAAAUUUUCUGAUAACAAAAUUCUAAGUAAUUCAAUAAAAUAUAAAAUACAAAUUGAUA